rnacentral:rRNA from 1 species
AAGACCUUGCGCUUUUGGAGCGGCCGAUGCCUGAUUAGCUUGUUGGUAAGGUAAAAGCUUACCAAGGCUUCGAUCAGUAGCUGGUCUGAGAGGACGACCAGCCACACUGGGACUGAGACACGGCCCAGACUCCUACGGGAGGCAGCAGUGGGGAAUUUUGGACAAUGGGGGCAACCUUGAUCCAGCCAUGCCGCGUGAGUGAAGAAGGCCUUCGGGUUGUAAAGCUCUUUCAGCCGGAACGAAACGGUUACGGUUAAUACCCGUGACUACUGACGGUACCGGAAGAAGAAGCACCGGCUAACUACGUGCCAGCAGCCGCGGUAAUACGUAGGGUGCGAGCGUUAAUCGGAAUUACUGGGCGUAAAGCGUGCGCAGGUGGUUUUGUAAGUCAGAUGUGAAAGCCCCGGGCUCAACCUGGGAACU